AACCUCCUCGUGGUUAUUACGUGCUAAACUUAAAAGCCUACCAAAAGAAAGAGUGGUCUUUCAAACAAAGCCAAGGAAUCUAAGGAAGAAGAUUGGGACAAGUGGUGGCUUAUAGACUCAAUCUACCCAUUUAUUUAGGAGAGAUCUUUAUUUAUUUAUUUGAUGUAAAAUGGUGCAUUAGAGUGUUUAAACGUGUGCACGCUUCAUGAUCUCUUAUGCAUGUCGGGAGGCGG
rnacentral:lncRNA from 1 species